rnacentral:misc_RNA from 1 species
AAGUCGUAACAAGGUUUCCGUAGGUGAACCUGCGGAAGGAUCAUUAGCAAGUCCUGGGUGCGUGCGGAGCAGUCUGCAUGCGCACAUCCGUCCCAUGUGCCCCGCACAUGACAUUUCUGCGAGUCGUCUGAUUGUCGCUCCAAACAAUACAAACUUUUAACAAUGGAUCUCUAGGCUCUU